AUGGCAAGAUUUCAUCCUUUUUUUAUGGCUGAAUAAAACGCAGCAGAUUUGACAGAGAAUCUUGAGAGCAGCAAGAGAAACACAACUCCUCAUCAUGUACCCAGAGCCACAAUAAGAUCAACAGCUGAUUUGUCAUUAGAAACUAUGGAGGCCAGAAGGCAGAAGGUUGAUACAGUCAAAGUGCUCAAAGAAAAGUCUCAACCAAGAAUGCUAUAUCCAACAAAACUAUCCUUCAAAAAUGAAGGCAAAAUUGAGACAUUCACAGAUGAAAACUAAGAGAAUUUGCUGCUAGCCAGCCUGCCAUACAAGAAGUAGUAAAGUGAACCCUUCAGGAUGAAGUGAAAGGACACAGUAACUUGAAUCCACAUGAAAAAAUACAGAGCACUGGUAAACAUAAUUAUAUAGGUAAAUAUAAAAGAUAGUAUAAGUGUAUUUUUGUUUCUAACUCUUUUUUUCCUCUUUUUUUCUCCAUAAAUUUUUUAAAUUGAGGUAUAGUUGAUUUACAAUAUUAUAUAAAUUUCAGGUUACAACAUAGUGAUUCACAAUUUUUCAAGGUUAUACUCCAUUUCUAGUUAUUAUAAAAUAUUGGCUAUAUUCUCUGUGCUGUACAAUAUAUCCUUGGAGUUUAUUUUAUACAUAGUAGUUUGUACCUCUUAAUCCCCUGCCCCCAUCUGGUCCCUCCCCCUUCCCUCUCCCCACUGUAACCACUAGUUUGUUCUCCAUAUCUGUGAGUCUCUUUUUCGUAUAUUCACUAGUUUGUUUUAUAUUUUAGGUUCCACAUAUAAGUGAUAUCAUACAGUAUUUGUCUUUGACUUAUUUCACUGAGCAUAAUACCCUCCAAGUCCAUCCGUGUUGUUGCAAAUGGCACAAUUUCAUUCUUUUUUAUGGCUGAGUAGUAUUCCAUUUAUUCUUUUUUAUUCAUUCACCUGUUUAUGGACACUUACAUUGCUUCCAUAUCUUGGCUAUUGUAAACACUGUUGCUAUGAAUAUUGCAGUGCAUAUAUCUUUUCAAAUUAAUGUUCAUUUUCUUCAGAUACAUACCCAGGAGUAGAAUUGCUAGAUCAUCUGGUAGUUCUAGUUUUAGUUUUUUGAGGAACCUCCAUACUGUUGUCCAUAGUGGCUAAACCAAUUUACAUUCCCACCAACUGUGCACAAGGGUUCCCUUUUCUCCACAACCUUGCCAACAUUUGUUAUUUGUGGUCUUCAGUAAUUCUUAAGAUUAUGAAGGGAUCCAGAAAAAUUCUUUAUCAGAUGAGUUGGAGUUCAGAAAAUGUGGUCACAGAACUCUAGACCAGAGGGACCCCACCCUGUGGCCGGAGUCUGCUCUCACCCUGUCCCCAGGGUGGCUAGCUCACCACCCCGUCCCUGGUCUUUUUUCCUCUUAUCUGAUUUAAAAGACAACUGUACAGUGCAAUCAUAAAUUGGUGUUGAUGUGUACACACUAUAUAAAAAUGUAAUUUGCAUUAAAGUAUGUCUUAGUCUGUUCUGGCUGCUAUAGCAAAUUGCCACCUACUGUUUAAGACUGGGUGGCUUAAACAACAAAUCUUUGUUUCUCAUAGUUCUGAGACUAGAAGUCCAAGAACAGGGUGCCAGCAUGAGCAAGUUCUUGGUAAAGGCCAUCAUCCCAGCUUAUAGACAGCCCUCUUCUCAUCGUAUCCUCACAUAGCAGAGAAAGAGAAAGCAAACUCUCUUCAUGUUUCUUCUUAUAAGGGCAUGAAUUUCAUUCCUGAAGACUUUGCCUUCAUGACCUAAUUGCAUCCUAAAGACCCAUCUUCUCAUACCAUUACACUCUGUGGGGGUGAGGUAGGAUUUCAACAUAUGAAUUGGGGGAGGGGACACAACAUAUAGGUAUGUUUGGCACAUACGUAAGCCAUACAGAACCAUGUCUGGCACACAGUAUGUGUAUACUAAAGUUGGAUAUUGUUAUGAUUAUUCUUAUUAUAUAUGGCAAAUUUCUACCUGUUUAAUCAAAAAAAGGGGAAAGACUCAAAUUACUAAAAUCAGGAAACAAAGAGGGCACAUUACUACCAGCCUUACACAUUACUACCAACCUUACAGAAAUAAAAGGAUUAUGAAAGUGUACUGUGAAUAACUAUAUGUCAACAAAUUAGGUAAUUUAGAUGAAACUGACAAAGUCCUAGAAAGACACAAACUACUGCAACUGACUCAAGAAGAAAUAGUAAAUCUGAAUAGAUAUAUAACAAGUAAAGAGAUUGAAUUAAUAAUCAGAAAGCUAUAAAGAAAAGCCCGGGGCCAGAUGGCUUCACUGGUUAAUUCCAUCAAAUGUUUAAAGAAAAAAUUGCACCAAUCCUUUACAAACUGCUCUAAAAAAAUACAAGAGGAGGAAACACUGCCAAACUUAUUCCAUGCGGCCAAUAUUACCCUGUAGUAAAACCAGGCAACGGCAUUACAAGGAAAAAAACUACAGAGCCAAUAAUUAAUGUUCACAAAUUGGAAGAUUUAGUAUUACUCAAGAUGGCCGUACUCCCCAAUUUGAUCUAUAGGUUCAACACAGUCCUUAUCAAAAUCCCAGCUGACUUUUUUUGCAGAAAUAUACAAACUGAUCCUAAAAUUCAUAUGGAAAUACAGGGGACCCAGAAUAGCCAAAACAAUCUUGAGAAAGAAGAGCAAAGUUGGAAGAAUCACACUUCCCAAUUUCAAAACUUACUACAAAGCUACAGUAAUCAAAACUGGUAUUGGCAUAAGGAUAGACAUCCAGAUAAAUGAAUUUAAAUUGAGAGUCCAAAAAUUUAUGGUCAAUUUGACUUUUUUUUUAAUUGAAGUAUAGUUGAUUUACAAUGUUGUAUUAGUUUCAGGUAUAUAGCAAAGUGAUUCAGUUAUACAUUUAUGUAUAUAUCUAUUCUUUUUCAGAUUCUUUUCCAUUAUAGGUUAUUAUAAGAUAUUGGA